rnacentral:sRNA from 1 species
CGAUGUUGGCAUACCCAGAGAGUAUCUCUUUCUGGCCAAACAGGGGCUCCCCUGAUGAUCUGAGGCCUUUUCCUCAGCACUUGUGGCCCCAGGAGCAUGAGGGGACAUAAAGGGGCAGCCUGACUCAGGCUGAACCUUGUGCCCUUGGACUCACCUUCCCACUCCCUGCUCAGCCUGGGUCCUCUGGUGGCCAAAGUGAAGGAGUACCAGGUGGAGACCAUCGUGGACACCCUGUGCACCAACAUGCGGUCAGACAAGGAGCAGCUGCGAGACAUCGCCGGCAUUGGCCUCAAGACCGUCCUCUCGGAGCUCCCCCCUGCAGCCACAGGCUCCGGGCUGGCCACCAACGUGUGCCGGAAGAUCACAGGCCAGCUCACCAGUGCCAUUGCCCAGCAGGAGGAUGUGGCUGUGCAGCUGGAAGCCCUGGACAUCCUCUCUGACAUGCUGAGCAGGCUGGGUGUCCCGCUGGGCGCCUUCCACGCCAGCCUCCUGCACUGUCUGCUGCCACAGCUGAGCAGCCCGCGCCUGGCGGUGCGCAAGCGGGCGG